CCUACGGGAGGCUGCAGUGAGGAAUAUUGGUCAAUGGACGAGAGUCUGAACCAGCCAAGUAGCGUGAAGGAUGACUGCCCUAUGGGUUGUAAACUUCUUUUAUAAAGGAAUAAAACGAGGCACGUGUGCCUUUUUGCAUGUACUUUAUGAAUAAGGAUCGGCUAACUCCGUGCCAGCAGCCGCGGUAAUACGGAGGAUCCGAGCGUUAUCCGGAUUUAUUGGGUUUAAAGGGAGCGUAGAUGGGUUGUUAAGUUAGUUGUGAAAGUUUGCGGCUCAACCGUAAAAUUGCAAUUGAUACUGGCAGUCUUGAGUACAGUUGAGGUAAGCGGAAUUCGUGGUGUAGCGGUGAAAUGCGUAGAUAUCACGAAGAACCCCGAUUGCGAAGGCAGCUUACUAAACUGUGACUGACAUUGAUGCUCGAAAGUGUGGGUAGCAAACAGGAGUAGAUACCCGAGUAGUC
rnacentral:rRNA from 1 species